rnacentral:lncRNA from 10 species
AAAGAAAGAAGAAAGAGAGAAAAAGAAAGAGAGAGAAAGAAUGAACUGGGAAUGGAGAAGUGGGAUGAGAACCUGCCUUCAUAGGACAUUAGAUCAGAGAAGGUUGACCCCGUGGCCAGCCUGUUCUCAGGGGGGACUGACUCAGGCUAAGAUGAGGCCAAAAGUCCUCAGCCUCGGGGGAAGAGAGGAGCCUCACCAAGUUUGCUUAACAAGUGUGUUAUUUCUAUUGACUGGCUCAUCAUUGAUGAGGUGAAGAAUGGGAAUUGGAGGAUCUGUGUCUGGCUUUGUCCUAGGUAAUGGGUAGGGGGUGGAGUGAGGGGAGCAUCCGUCACUUUUCCUUUUUUUUUUUUUUUUUUUGGAGACAGCGCCCAGCUGCAUCACUUCUAUCACUCUUACCUAUGUUAUGUGGGGAAGAAGGGGGUCUCUCGCAGCAAGCCACUUUCCACAACUCACAGAGAGGAGAUUUUUAUCAGAUAAAUUCAGCAGCGUCCUACCCAGCCUGAAGAAGCCACCCAGUCAUUUCCUGUUGCACUUCCUUGUUUAUUUUCGACACAGUUCUCCCCACCCCUGAGAAUUCUUGUCACUUCCUCCUGUACUGCCCACUUCUACUCCCCCACCCCCACAUCGGAAGCUAAUGAGGAGCUUCAGGCCCCUUGCUGGCAUGGGCCCCACCAAGACCCCAUAUCUCAUUCCGUAUUCACAAUUUUACCUUCUUGUUCUUAAAGAAGGACAUCCAAAUGGAAAAGCUCUCAACCCCCCAAAACUUGGAUGUGAACCUGGAGCAUCUGUCAUCUGUCUUGUUCACUACUUGUCCACCUACCAGGAUCCUAAACGGAACCCUACGUAGGGAAGAGGCAGUGGCUGUAAAGGCUGGAUUUGGGUCUGGAAGCCGCCCAGCUUUACGAAAACAAAGAGGGCUCCAGCAUCAAGCAGGUGGGCAGGGGCCAGAGUGGGAAUUACAUUGACUCACACAACAUAGUGUAAAAGGGUACAAACUAUGAGGUUUAAAAGAUGCUGCUGGCUUGUAUAGAAACAUGUCCUUAGGAGAGGGGAGGGGGACAGGAUGGCAACAGCCAUGUCUAUGAACAGACAUCCUUAAAUCCUUGUUAAUUCUGAAGAGACCAAGAUACUUUCACCACACAACCUCUUCUUGGCAUUAGCUCCAGGUUUCCUGUUUCCAUGCCAGCUUUUGCUGGGUUAUGCUACAAUAAUACACCGCCCCCAAAUCUCAGUGUCUCACUUAAACGGAAGUUGAUCAUUUAUCAUUCAUUUGCCCAUAUUCCAUGCUGGCUAUGCGUCAGAUGCCACUGUGGUCCACGGUAUUUUUCACUCUGGAACCCAGGCGGUAGGAACAGCCCAUAUCUGGUGCUGGCCAUUCCAAUGGCAGAGCAGUGGCACAACUACACAGUUUAGGAUUCUCAUGCUCUAAAGAGCUUUGUCACACUUGAAAGAAUCUCACCUUAAAAACUCCUUUCCAUCCUGAAUUACUUAUUUGCUGAGAAAGUGAGGCCAGCUGCUGGGUGUUUCCCUGCCCUUUCUCUUCUUUUUCUUUUUCUUUUUUUUUUUUUGAGACAGAGUCUCACUCUGUCAGCCAGGCUGGAGUGCAGUCAGUGGCACAAUCUCGGCUCACAGCAACCUCCGUCUCCCAGGCUCAAACAAUUCUCCUGCCCUAGCCUCCCGAGUAGCUGGGAUUACAGGCGUGUGCCACCACGUCCGGCUAAUUUUUGUGUUUUUAGUAGAGACGGAGUUUGACCAUGUUGGUCAGGGUGUCCCAGCACCUCUGGCCUUGCCAUGCCAGCCUGGCCACUGUGGUACACAUUUUGUGGAACUCUUUUAUUCUGAGCUGUGGCCAUGACAAAAGGAGGACAGGAGAGAAACAGAAAAGACCAGUCAUGUGUUUCUCACAAUAUAAUUUGUUCUUCAAGUGUGACUUAACUGAUGGAACCAGAGGGAAAAAACUUUCUGGAACUAGACAAUAAGAAUAAAUCAGAUCAAAUAGCAUGCUAUUAUGAAAUGUGAAGCAAAGCAAUAUAUUACAUUUAAUCAUGGAUGUCAAAUUUUCAAAGCAUAUUUACUCUGAAAAAGGAAAAGAAAAAAACCCAUGAGCUUACACACACACUCACAUGCACACACAUACACACACAUGCACACACAUACUCCUAUACACGUGGAUAUUAGGCUGCUUACUUGAGCUGUCUUACAAUUAUUUAUCUUAAAAAGAUAAGCAAGGCAUUUUAGACUUCUGAGAUUUUACUACAUAACUGAGCUGCUUUACUUUAGAUAAGCCCUUCUGCAUUACAAAUAAUAGUUUAAUAUUACAUUAACAGUUAAUUUUGGCUGGACUUAUAGUAUUGUUUGAAGUUGGAUAGUAUGAUAUAUCUAGCUUUGUUCUUUUUGCUUAGGAUUGCUUUAGCUACUCAGGCUCCUUUAGGUUCCAUAUGAAUUUUAGGAUAGUUUUUUUCUAAUUCUGUGAAAAAAUGAUGUUGGCAGUUUGAUAAGAAUAGCAUUAAGUCUAUAGAUUACUUUGGGCAGUAUGACCAUUUUAACAAUAUUGAUUCUUCCAAUCCAUGAG